rnacentral:rRNA from 1 species
UACGUAGGGCGCAAGCGUUGUCCGGAAUUAUUGGGCGUAAAGAGCUCGUAGGCGGUUUGUCGCGUUCUGCUGUGAAAACCUCAGGCUCAACCGUGGGGCUUGCAGUGGGUACGGGCAGACUAGAGUGGCGGUAGGGGUGACUGGAAUUCCUGGUGUAGCGGUGGAAUGCGUAGAGUAUCAGGAGGAACACCGGUGGCGAAGGCGGGUCUCUGGGCCGAUGACUGACGCUGGAGGAGCGAAAGCCGUGGGGAGCGAACAGGA